ensembl:lncRNA
CCUCUCUCUCUCUCUCUCUCUCGUCCCGCACUUGCUACCAGCUAGACCUCCAGAUCAAUGUUUUGGCACAUAUGUUACCACCACAGCCAGCUGGCUACAAAUCUAACAGAGCCAGCAAUCCAGCAAUAAGGCAAGCACGGAUGAGACGCAGACAAAUAAAAACAGACAGUCACAAGUACUCCAAAAGGCGCAACACCACACUCACUGGGAGGUCGACAGGGCCGUCGACUCCUGGGCAUCUGCUGCAGUUCAUCUUUGAGGACAUUCCCACCACGGAGUGACUGACCAGUUGAAAGGGAUACAUUUACUCUGACUCAAAAUGAUUUAAAUCAUGGAGGAAGGGAGAGGCAUAUUGUCGGGGACUGAUUCCUUCUGUCAUUUCCUCCAUAUGGUUUAUCAGUGCCAGAUAAAUCACUGUGACAGCCAAACAGAAGCCAGGAAGGCCCCCAGGAGAAUUUAGCAGUACGUCCAACCGGCCUCACAACCGCAGACCACGUGUAACCAUGCCAGCCCAGGGCCUCCACAUCCGGCUUCUUCACCUGCGCGAUUGUCUGACACCAGCCACCCGGACAGCUGAUGAAACUGAGUAGUAUUUCUGUCUGUAAUAAAGCCCUUUUGUUGGGAAAAACUAAUUCUGGUGGACCUGGCUCCCAAGUGGGUGGGCCUUUGCGCUUCAAGGCCCACCCAUGGCUGAUAUCCUGCCUAGUCAUUUUAUAUCGAUAGAUUAAGGCCAAAUGAAUUUAUUUCAAUUGACUGAUUUCUUUAUAUGAACUGUA